AAGUGGUACGCGAGCUGGGUUUAGAACGUCGUGAGACAGUUCGGUCCCUAUCUGCCGUGGGCGCUGGAGAACUGAGGGGGGCUGCUCCUAGUACGAGAGGACCGGAGUGGACGCAUCACUGGUGUUCGGGUUGUCAUGCCAAUGGCACUGCCCGGUAGCUAAAUGCGGAAGAGAUAAGUGCUGAAAGCAUCUAAGCACGAAACUUGCC
rnacentral:rRNA from 1 species